AACAAGCUGUAGCAGCAAGAAAAGGAUUCUUUUGGGUGGAAAGCUACUCUCCUUCCUAUUGAGGAAACAACAAAAUUAACUUCUGUUUGGGGAAGGACUGGAAACCAGAAGCCAGUGUAAUUAGACAACCCACCAGAGUGUAGGCAGGGAAAGGUAUUUAUUUUUGUGUCAGGAGGUGCUAGUUCUUUGAGCCAAAAAACCCUCCCUAUUUGGUCCUACUCUGAAGCCCACCUUGUAAUUACUGAAAAGUAAACCAAAGUGACAAAUUAACAACCUCCAGAGCAGGACUGAUUUACUCCAGGCUCCUCCCACCACCACCACAGGAAGAAAUUCUGAGGCUGAGGAGGUGAAGGAGGUACCUUGCCACCAUAUACGGAUGAUGAUAGGAUAGAACUAUGUCAGUCUUGACAAUCUGCAAUCAUUGAUGAUCCCAUGGCACUCUUCAGAAGCGCUGACGUUGUUGAUCUAGUGUCCUGGCCAAGAUUGCUGAGUUUUGAUGAAAGAAAUUCAGAGAAGUGAAUCACCAACAGCCAGCAUUUGUUCAGGACCGGCACAGAGAAGCUGAUCUGCAGUGCCCUGGACUUCUACCACCAUUCAGGAGAGGAGUGAUAGCAGUGUCAGAAUGAGACACUGGUAUCAGAAA